ensembl:sense_intronic Gm43560 predicted gene 43560
AUCCUACACUGAAUUACCUACACUGCAAUGUCUAUUAAUGUUUUUGUGACUGACAGAAUAUUCCACUGCAGCAGCUUAGAGUGGAGGCUCUGUUUCCUGAGUUCAUAUUCCUUAGAAAAGGAGGCUCCAUUCCCUGAGUUCAUGUCAUUACACAGAUGUGAAAUGAGCAAGACCCAGACUCUGCUUCUGAGGGAGAACAGUGCACUUGCCCUUCUGUGCAGGGCUGCUUUGGUUUAACCCAGCAAUAGCAUGCAGAAGGCCUGACUGGAAAUCCUAACCCGGCCUCCUUCAGGUCUUUGAAGUUGUGCAGAUUGCUUGACUUCACUGAGCCCCAAAUUACCAUGAAUACAUACGGUCACCCUUCACAAGAUUAGGGAAACUCUGGUCUGUAGUGACAUCACAUUGUUGGUUGCCUGGAUCUGAGGGGAGCCUGCUUGGGAUGCUAAUUUAAAAGGACUUUUCUGAGAUUAAGAAGAUACCAUGGUUUAAGUCUGGAGAAAGGGCUCACUCAGUGAGUAAAGCAUUGAAGACCAGAGUUCCAGUCCCCAGAGCCCAUGUAACAUCCAGGACAGUGGCAGCCUGCCUGAAUCCCAGCACACUGGGACCCAGUCCCCAGAACGUUACCAGCCAGAAUGAGCUAGUCCUAAUGAUGGUGGGCUCCUGGUUCCAGGAGAGACCAUGUCUCCAUGUAUGAGAUGGAGAGUGAGCUGUCCUCCACAUGCGUCCACACAUACUGCAUGUGCCCACACACUUGCAAAGAGACACAUGCAUCC